rnacentral:rRNA from 1 species
UACGUAGGGUGCGAGCGUUAAUCGGAAUUACUGGGCGUAAAGCGUGCGCAGGCGGUUCGUUGUGUCGGUGGUGAAAUCCCCGGGCUUAACCUGGGAAUGGCAUUGGUGACUGCACGGCUAGAGUGUGUCAGAGGGGGGUAGAAUUCCACGUGUAGCAGUGAAAUGCGUAGAGAUGUGGAGGAAUACCGAUGGCGAAGGCAGCCCCCUGGGAUAACACUGACGCUCAUGCACGAAAGCGUGGGGAGCAAACAGG